rnacentral:rRNA from 1 species
UACGUAGGGGGCUAGCGUUAUCCGGAUUUACUGGGCGUAAAGGGUGCGUAGGCGGUCUUUUAAGUCAGGAGUGAAAGGCUACGGCUCAACCGUAGUAAGCUCUUGAAACUGGAGGACUUGAGUGCAGGAGAGGAGAGUGGAAUUCCUAGUGUAGCGGUGAAAUGCGUAGAUAUUAGGAGGAACACCAGUAGCGAAGGCGGCUCUCUGGGAUAACACUGACGUUCAUGCUCGAAAGCGUGGGUAGCAAACAGG